rnacentral:rRNA from 1 species
GGGGAAUUUUCCGCAAUGGGCGAAAGCCUGACGGAGCAAGACCGCGGGGGGGAGGAAGGUUCUUGGAUUGUCAACCCCUUCUCUCAGGGAAGAAGAAAGUGACGGUACCUGAGGAAGAAGCAUCGGCUAACUCCGUGCCAGCAGCCGCGGUAAUACGGGGGAUGCAAGCGUUAUCCGGAAUGAUUGGGCGUAAAGAGUCCGUAGGUGGCUCAUCAAGUCUGCUGUUAAAGAGCGAGGCUUAACUUCGUAAAAGCAGUGGAAACUGAAGAGCUAGAGUAUAGUAGGGGCAGAGGGAAUUCCUGGUGUAGCGGUGAAAUGCGUAUAGAUCAGGAAGAACACCGGUGGCGAAAGCGCUCUGCUGGGCUAAAACUGACACUGAGGGACGAAAGCUAGGGGAGCGAAUGGGAUUANAUACCCNAUUAGUC